rnacentral:rRNA from 1 species
GACGAACGCUGGCGGCGUGCUUAACACAUGCAAGUCGAACGGAAAGGCCCUGCUUGCAGGGUGCUCGAGUGGCGAACGGGUGAGUAACACGUGGGUGAUCUGCCCCUUACUUUGGGAUAAGCCUGGGAAACUGGGUCUAAUACUGGAUAGGACCAUGCUGUAGGUGGUGUGGUGGAAAGAUUAUUUUCGGUAAGGGAUGAGCUCGCGGCCUAUCAGCUUGUUGGUGGGGUAAUGGCCUACCAAGGCGUCGACGGGUAGCCGGCCUGAGAGGGUGGACGGCCACAUUGGGACUGAGAUACGGCCCAGACUCCUACGGGAGGCAGCAGUGGGGAAUAUUGCACAAUGGGCGCAAGCCUGAUGCAGCGACGCCGCGUGGGGGAUGACGGCCUUCGGGUUGUAAACUCCUUUCAGCCAUGACGAAGCCCUUGUGGUGACGGUAGUGGGAGAAGAAGCACCGGCUAACUACGUG